rnacentral:rRNA from 1 species
UGGGGAAUUUUGGACAAUGGGCGCAAGCCUGAUCCAGCCAUGCCGCGUGCGGGAAGAAGGCCUUCGGGUUGUAAACCGCUUUUGUCAGGGAAGAAAUCUUCUGAGUUAAUACCUCGGGAGGAUGACGGUACCUGAAGAAUAAGCACCGGCUAACUACGUGCCAGCAGCCGCGGUAAUACGUAGGGUGCAAGCGUUAAUCGGAAUUACUGGGCGUAAAGCGUGCGCAGGCGGUUUUGUAAGACAGAGGUGAAAUCCCCGGGCUCAACCUGGGAACUGCCUUUGUGACUGCAAGGCUUGAGUGCGGCAGAGGGGGAUGGAAUUCCGCGUGUAGCAGUGAAAUGCGUAGAUAUGCGGAGGAACACCGAUGGCGAAGGCAAUCCCCUGGGCCUGCACUGACGCUCAUGCACGAAAGCGUGGGGAGCAAACCAGGAUUAGAUAGCCCUGGUAGUCCACGCCCUAAAACGAUGUCAACUGGUUGUUGGGAAGGUUCCUUCUCAGUAACGUAGCUAACGCGUGAAGUUGACCGCCUGGGGAGUACGGCCGCAAGGUUGAAACUCAAAUGAAUUGACGGGGU